rnacentral:rRNA from 1 species
AUUGAACGCUGGCGGCAGGCCUAACACAUGCAAGUCGAACGCGUGGCGGACGGGUGAGUCAUGUCUGGGACCCUGCCUGAUGGAGGGGGCUCACUACUGGAAACGGUAGCUACUACCGCAUACCAUCGGAUGUGCCCAGAGUGGAUUAGCUAGUAGGUGGGGUAACGGCUCACCUAGGAGACGAUCCCUAGCUGGUCUGAGAGGAUGACCAGCCACACUGGAACUGAGACACGGUCCAGACUCCUACGGGAGGCAGCAGUGGGGAAUAUUGCACAAUGGGCGCAAGCCUGAUGCAGCCAUGCCGCGUGAAUGAAGAAGGCCUUCGGGUUGUAAAGUACUUUCAGCGGGGAGGCGUUACCCGCAGAAGAAGCACCGGCUAACUCCGUGCCAGCAGCCGCGGUAAUUC